CCCCCCGCAUUCUUUUCUGCUUAGUGUGUCCUCCGCUGCCAUUACCACUGAUCCUAUAUCUGUUUUGAUUUACCUCUUGUGACUUAAGACUCUCAUUGGUUGUAUCGCAUUAGAACUUGGGCCUACAUCUAGUUUGUUUUAGCUCCUCUGCUUUAACAAUCUGGUAAUGUACCAGCCCUAAAGCCUUUGCUUUGCUUUACGUCUCAGAUCUGCUUUGUUUUGUAUGUAUUCCUUAUUCUGAUGAAACUGCCGUCCUGGUUGUCGUACUGCCCACUCAAAUAGAACUUGACUGUGGACGUAGGUAAAAGAUUAGGUAGGUAAAAUUAGGUUCACCAAAUUUUCUACUUUCCUGUGGAGGUUCAAAGUAACUUGGCUACUAACUACUAAUUAUACGAUUCACAUUUUGAAAAUUUCCAGGCAGAAAAAAAAACUCUUGCAAACACAAAUACUCUGGCCUACACAGAGCCUGACGCAUUGUAAUUUGUAAACAUCCCAGCUUAAAUGGUAAAAUACUAAAUCAGACCAGACCAUCUCGUUUCAGGCGUUUCCAUUUUUAGUUCAUAAUGGUUACCGCAGAUAAGUGACAGUACGUUGCUUGGAAAUCUGGAUGGAAACUCAUGCUUGGAUUGGGUCACGUCGCCUCCAAAGUUUGACAGUAAUACCCCUCAUUAGUUCAUAUGAACCACUACGUAAUUGCAAUACAAUACUGGAAGUUUGAAGGUCCUUGUAGCACUAAUGACAUGACUUAUUGCAGUAAUAUACAAUUCAUUAUGUAAUUCUAGUAUUCUACACUCGUUUCUCAUGAAUUACUACAUUAAUCUGCAAGUAUUUAUUUCUCUUACUCUUGCUGUUCCUCUACAUGGCUGAUUCUUUGCUUUACGUGCGAGCCGAUGUGGAAAAAUAAGAUGAAACAAGGAAAGGCUGUAAGUCACUAAAAUGGUUGGGUGCAGUUAACUGUUCUGGCGAUAUUUAUGUAUUUAACCUUGAGGCACAAAGGCAACACUGGUUCAUAUAUAGAAUGAACUAGAAAUGCUCGCGGGUGUUGCCGCGUAUGGCCAGUGUGCGGGCUGUUUUCAGUGUAGAUGGGCCCCGAUUUUCUAUCAGCUAUGGUGAAUUGAGUGAACUCUGACAUUGUCGCGCGGAAUGAAGACGGAGGCGGCAGCGCGGACGGUGAGUCGUCGAGGGAGGAGGAGAAGAUGGAGGCGGCGGCGACGGUGGCCGCAUUGCCCAGGCUUUGCGUUUGCAAUGGUGGAUAUGUGGAAUGACAAGGGAUAUCCCUCCAAGGCCUACAAUAUUUUGGAUCGAUCUUACAUGCCCCCUCUAUUUCACAAUUUAUGUCCAAUAUAUCUUGAUUGUGCAACAUAGGCAUGUUGUCAGUUAGAUUUUUGUACAACAAUUCUUUAUCUGGACCCGUUCCAGAUAACUUACUAAACAAGCAAGGACUGACUUACAGAUUUCUCCCUGGUAAUCUCUUCACCCCAAAACCACCGCACUCACAGCAGGAAAUUUUGUGCAAACAACCACUAUAUAUGUACACAACAUGAUUCAGAGCUAGCAGGACAAUCGUUGAUUCUUUAAGGGUGGCUAUAGCAAGAUUUCUGUGAAGCGAAGCUGUAGAUUUAGAAUUUUCGAGCAGCUAUCGUAUUGAGAAUUUAAAUCAACCUGCGAUGAAGCAGAUAACAAUAAAUAUAUAGAACUCACAGGAACCAACACUAUUACAUUUGUUUGCCUACUCUUUUUUUUUAAAUGUCAUUUGCAGGGCCUAAAGUUUGAGUGCAUUGUAUUAAUAAUUAAAGUACCCCAGAACCAAUAUUGGUGCUAUCCAGCCUGCAAGCUCGUGGCUCAAGAUGAUUUUUUGAUGGUGGAAAAUAUCAUUGUUCCAAGGAUGGUUGCAUAAGCACAACUAUUGAGCAUAGGUGCUGCUGGGCGGUGUGAGCCAUGACGCAGGGACGCUGGCCGGCGGUGCUUGGUCGGCAGCGUAGCUUGGUGUCCCUUGAGCUCGCGAGACGGUGACAUAGACCCACUUGGACGACGCUAGCAGACCGAACGAGGCAGGAGGGGCAGGCGGCGGGACACGACAUCGAGCCGGAGGAGAGACGGAGGAGGCCAGGUAAGGCAGGAAGGGGAGAAGGCUGUCGCAGCGGCCGUAGUGGCAGAGGCGAGUGCCAGGGCCUCGGCAGCGCUGCAGCGUCAUGGGCGACAGUGACCUCGCCGCGCGAGCAUCCCCAUGCCCGUUCUAGUUGCAGAAACAUGGGGAUGGCCGCCAGCCAUCGCCAUGCCCAGCUGGCCGCCCCCGCCGGCGCCAGCGCCAAGGAGGCUGGAGCUCGUCCGCAGCAGGGAGGCGCGCCCAACUGUUGUCCAGGGCCCAUCGGGUUGGGCUGCCCCGACGACACCAUCCUCAGAUAAUCUAGGCCGGGGAGACCGUACCUCUCACUCGGCGCAGCGGGAGCGCUCGAGAUCCGCCACACCAGUGGGGGAGAAAAAAUCGAGCGAGGGUGAGGCAGCAGCACCACGCUUCGUCCUCAAACCCACCGGAACCAAGCGAGCAAGCGAUGGCCGAGCUGCGAGGCUCGAGCGACGGCGGAGAGCAUCAUGAGCGACAUGCCGGGAUAGCCGGCAGCAGGCGAAAGCGAAGGAGACGAGCAGAUUCUUGAGGAUUCGCGAGCGCUCGGGUUCGCAGCUUAACGGGCGACAGACCCGUGCCGAUCUGAUCUGACGGUUGAUAACUCUAGCUGGCUGGAUCCGACGGUUAUUGAGUUAACGGUCGAUGUGGCCCUAUCGGGUGCCCGCGGUUUGGUCCAUGAAUCGUAUAUUAAGAUGGUGGCCAUGUUACAUCUAGUGGCUUUUGCCCCAAGAACAAUGCCCUUGUGAUAACUACAUCUAAAAAAGGUGUAUGUAUUUGAUGCGGAAGCAAUAGUUAGGUGAAUGAUCCGAGCGAUACACAUCACUUGCCCAGAAGUUUCGAGGAAUUUCCUGUUGAGGUCAUUGGCCUAUAAUUCCCGCCACAUUCGUGAAAACAUGAUUGUGUACAAUGUGUUUGAUAAUUAACAAGUUGUUCACCAUAUUGCACUCGAAUUGAUUUCUUCCUUAAUUUGAAAAAUUGUACAUCAGUAUAUCUACUGCAGCUACAUUCGGAACUACAUUGCCACUUACAAAUACUGCAUGUGCAUCUAGAACUGCCUGACAGUGAGCUGCUGAUGGAUGCUACAAGUGAUGAGGAAAUAUAUCCCAACUGAUCUUAUCAGUGGCCAUAAAAGUUCUUAUCAGUCGUCAAACUUUUUUUUUGUAAUGAUCAGUGUUCUGAUCAGUGGCCAUAACACUACCUAAUAGUACCUAUUUAUGUAAUAUAUGUAAGUACAUGAGCAAACCUUUAUUGCAAUGGACAAUAUGCUAUGCACGCUGUCGAACCUAUGUAAUAUAUAACGAACUAUUUAGUAUAGAUGGCAAUUUGGCCCGAUACCCAUGGGGGCCCGAAGCCCGGCCCAUAUUAGCCCGACCCGAGCACGGCACGGGCCCGAAUAUUAUUGGGCUCGGGCCGGCACGGGCACGAUAGGCGGGCCGUCCCUGGGCCUCAAUCCCGACCCAUGGACACGUCCAAGCACGGUCCGAAAAAGCCGGUUCGAUGGGCGGCACGGCCCACGGCUCGCUCCCCAGGCCAGGCCAGCAAAAGAGCCGUUGGAGGCCUGCUGCCGGCCCAUCCCAGCGGAGAGGGUAUGUAAGGGGCGCCGGCCGCUGCCCCCGGCCACCCCCGGCCUCCAUUCGCUUGCCCCGCCCCCGACCCCUCUCCGCUCCCCUCGCGGCCUCGCCUAACCCUAACCCUAACCCUAGAUCGAACCUCGACCCCUCUACGUUGUCUACAGCCCCGCUCCCCUCCCGUCUCCGUCUCGAUCUGACCGUCUUCUCCAACUCUGGUCGCCGGCUCGCCGCCGUUGGCCGUCCACUCUACCCUCUUCUCUUUGUUUUCCUCCCUACUUUUUCAUCUUCACCGGUCAACUCGCUUCCUCAACUCAAAUCCGUCCCCAAACCCGGUCAUCCCUCUAUAAAUCUCGUAGAUCCGGCCGUCCUCGAUCUCGCCGGCGUCCUUGGUGCUCCGGAUCUAUUGCUCGGCCGAUGCAAAGCCGUUGGGGUACCUGAGGGGGCUGGAUCUAGGGUCUUUGGACCCUAACCGGCAGCUUGGUUCCCUCGGUUUUGCCGGCCGACGCGAAGCCGAGACGCGCCGAAGGCCUGGCCUGCCCUCCAAGCCAUGGACGACGACGAGGGCCCCACCACCAACGAUGAGUUGCGGAUGAUGGGCCUGGAGGGGGACGACGAGGACGGUAUGGAGGAGGAACGGGAGGAGCUUUUUGGUCGGCGUGGUAAUGUGGAAGUAAUCAUGCCCCCUCCCCCUCCCCCUCCCGUUGGUGUUGGUGGUGCCGGUGCGGGUGCUGAUGCCGGUGCCGGUGCCGGUGCUGGUGCCGGUGCUGAUACUGGCGCUGGUGGUGCAGCUGACGGUGCCGCGCCGGACUCUGUCAGCCACGCCGGCGAGAAGCGGGGAUGGCCCUGCACCUCCAAGGUGUGGGACGAGUACGAGAAGCUCUUCAAGCAGAUCAAUGGUAAGACCGUCAGCUAUGGAGCCAAGUGCCUUCACUGCAAAUCAGUCCUUUCUGGCUUUUCCAGUAGCGGCACUGGCCAUCUUAGUCGGCAUCUUCUAACUUGCCGUAGUAGGAAAAAGAAGUCUAGUGCUCAGUCAAUCCUUAGUUUUUGAUGCUGACGGUAGUGUGGUUUUCUGGGAGUACAGUCCUGAUGUGGCUCGUACUCAAUUGUGCCGUUUGAUUGCAAAGCUUGAUCUGCCUCUAGGGUUUGGUGAAACAAAUGAUUUUAAAGAGUACAUUCAGAUUGCUCAUAACCCUAGAUUUACUCCUGUUAGUAGGCAGACCACUACUAGAGAUAUUGCCAAGUACUUUAUUGAACGCCGUGAUGAUCUUAUGAAGUACUUAAGCUCUAAUUCUGUUGGCUCUAUUGGUCUUACCUCUGAUAUAUGGUCUGGUAAUGCUAAGGAAGAUUACCUUAGUGUGGUUUGUCAUUAUGUUAAUUCUGAUUGGCAACUAGAGAAGAGAGUGUUGGGUCUCAGCCUUAUUGAUGUCAGUCACAGUGGUGACUACAUUGCUGAGUCGUGUGCACACUGUGAUCUCAGACUUUGGCUUGACUAAUAAGGUGUUCUCUAUCACUCUAGAUAAUGCUUCUACUAAUGCCUCUACUAUGGAAGCGCUGACACAUUUAAUUAGAGGUUAUAUUGGUACCUUAAGUACUGGAAUGACAUACCUCUGCUUUAUUCCAUUGCAUUCAUCAUGGAUCCUAGAGCUAAAAUAAAAAGUUUUAGCAAUGCUCUUAGGCUGCUCUCUAGUUUAACUGGUACUGACUAUUCUGCUUAUUUUACCUCUGUGAGAGCUGCUCUGUCUGACAUGUUUGGCAAGUAUGAAAGCAAGUUUGGUUCUAUUAGAUUGGCAAGGCCUACACAUAAACCUUCUACUGGUAAGAAAAAAGCUCAAUGGGGUAAGAUCUUUGGUGAUGGUUCUACUUCUACUACUUCUCCUGGGUCUGGUCUUGGCAGUGUUGGUACUGGUGGCUCUUUUACUGUUCCUCUUAGUAGAAGGACAUCUGCAAGUGCUUUGCUGCGAGCAGCAAGCACUGGUGGUGCAUAUAGUAUUUCUUCUAAACUUACUGCCUACUUAGAUAGUGACACUGUCAACCAGUUUGAUGAUGAUUUCAACAUCUUGACCUGGUGACAUGAGCACAAACAGCCUUAUCCAGUACUUUCUAUCUUAGCUAAGGAUGUUUUAACUGUGCCUGUUUCUGCCAUCUCUUCAGAAUCUACCUUUAGUCUAACUGGCAGGAUCAUAGAGGAGAGGAGGCGUCAGUUGAAGCCAGAGAUGGUAGAAAUGCUCACAUGCAUCAAAGACUGGGAGGCUGCAGAUGAAAGAGCUCAGCACAUGGUAGAGGAUGGAGACCUGGAGGCAGCUUAUGAAGAUCAGUACCUUGAUGAAACUCCAGCACAAGCUGCUGUGUAAUAGGAUAGUUUAUUUGCAUUGUAUGACUAUGAGGUUAACUUAACACUGUAACUUGAACUUAAUGAGCUGGGCUGUACUCUUUUUUCCUAUCUAGCGUUUUCUCACGAGGUGUGAGUUUUUACCUAGAUAGGUAUUUAAUGAGGCAGCCAUUGCACAAAACAGCUCAUCCUUGAUAUUUUGUUGAUUUCUAUCAGUUUUUGUUACUCAAGAUGAAUCGAUCUGCUGAAUGAGCCAUGUUGGGAUUUUA